UAAGGUAAGCUCAGGGAAGACAGAAACCUCCAAUAGAGCAGAAAAAAAACCUUACUUGAUCUUGAUUUUCAGCAUGAAUACAGACUGUGAAAGAAG
rnacentral:ncRNA from 1 species